rnacentral:rRNA from 1 species
CGGACCUGUAGCACUGCUCCCACAAGAUUACUGCCUAGGACCACGGUAUAUGUGGUAAGCAAUUUCUGAAUGGAAAUUAAAUUAUAAUGAUUUAGGUUGUUAGCUCUACUUUUGAAAAGUAUAUAAUCCACUAAAAAAAGUACAUAAUCCAAGAAAAAAAUUACUGCCAAAGAGAAGGGUAAAAAGGGAGUCUAUGAAUGAACCAUAAUAAAGGAAGAGAGGACGCUCCCCGCAAAAAUAAAGGGGAAAGGGAUGAAAUGAAAGGGAAAAAAGAGGAGGGAAAGAGAGAGAGACAUGGGAGAGCGCGUGAAGUGUCCGCCGAUCAAACGGGAGCCCCCUUCCCUCCAACGCAAGCGAGCGAGCCAGGGUCAGCUAAAAUCCAACCGCAACGAACCGAAGCAGAGCACGCGAGCAGUUUCCAUUUCCGGCCAUCCGACCCUGGGGCGAGCCGAAAGCCCCCUCACCUCCAUUCCCUCCAUGGCAGCCACCCUCCUUUACUCCCCCCAACCUCCCCCCGGCCAUGGCAUUCACGCCCGCCCAUAAAGAUCGCCACCACCACAGGCCGCUGCCGCUCCCAGCCGUCCACACUCCACAGAGACAAGGGAGGAGGAGUCUUCCGGGUCUUGGGUGCUCCUGGGUCCUCUUUCUUUCUUCUCGGCGAGCGAGGAGCUUGUUGGGAUGGGGCGCGGCAAGAUCGAGAUCAAGAGGAUCGAGAACUCGUCCAACCGCCAGGUGACCUUCGCCAAGCGCCGGGCCGGGCUGGUGAAGAAGGCCCGCGAGAUCGGCGUGCUCUGCGACGCCGAGGUCGGCGUCGUCAUCUUCUCCAGCGCCGGCAAGCUCUACGACUUCUGGACGCCCAAGACCACGCUACCGAGGAUCUUGGAGAAGUACCAGACCAACUCCGGCAAGAUCCUGUGGGACGAGAAGCACAAGAGCAUCAGCGCAGAGAUCGACAGGGUGAAGAAGGAGAACGACAACAUGCAGAUCGAGCUCAGGCAAGUGUUGUUCCAUCCAGCUUUGAUUUUUUUUCUCUCUUUCCAAUUCUACCUGCGGCUCUUCAAUGUUUGUAUGAGUAUGACUCAUUGCGGCAGCUGAUUAACGGUGCAGGCAUAUGAAAGGCGAGGAUGUGAACUCCCUGCAGCCCAAGGAACUGAUCGCCAUCGAGGAAGCUCUCACGAACGGCCAGACCAACCUCAGGGACAAGAUGGUAAUGCAUGCUGGGUGUACAAAAUUCAGAGCUUGCAAGUGUUUCAUCUUUGUUUUGUGGAAUAUUGUUGUCUGUCUCUGAUGUUGGUGCCGUCUCCUUGUUGCAGAUGGACCACUGGAAGAUGCACAGGAGGAAUGUAUGGGCCCUAAAUUUACCACUGCUCUUUGCAUUUCCUUCUGUACACCAUGGGAGUUUCUUGAAGAAGAAUUUGCAAAGAUCUGCUUUUUAUUGGCAAAGAAAAUUCUGAUCAUGCUCCUCCUUUGUGAUUUACCGCAGGAGAAGAUGCUGGAGGAGGAGCACAAGCUGCUGGCUCUGAGGAUGGUAAUUCUUGAGCACUUCCUUGCUUUCUUCAGUCUAGAAUUAAUCACCCUGCGGAACUGCAGACAUGCAUCAUCUUUUGCCAACUAGUGAAAUGGAGCAUAAUCAUAUCCUCCAAGGGCAUUAUCUUGGUUUCAGUAAAGUGUUGCUAAUGCAGUUAGACCACUGAUCAGUACUUAAUGUGGCUGAUCAGAGUCAUCUACUCAGCAACCAAAUAACUCGCCACUACAAUAGUUCCUUGCUGCAUUAUUUUUCAAAACAGCAUGCCUGUCUUCAUACCCUGCAAACCGAAUCACCUCUACCCAGUCCAAUUGAAUAACUGAAACUGUAAUAACAUAAUUCACUGCAUAGGUUAAAAUUUCAGUGAAUGGUAACCGCACUUUCUGCUUUACUGAUAAGUAACCCAAAAGCUGAGAAAUCGCUGAAGUUCUCCUCUUGUUUCCAGCACCAGCAGGACGACCUGAGCAGCGGCAUGAGGGAGAUGGAGCUCGGGUACCAUCAGGGUAGGGAUUUCACUUCCCAGAUGCCGUUCACCUUCCGGCUGCAGCCCAGCCACCCCAACUUGCAGGAAGACAAGUAGGCCACCGAAUCCUGCCACGGCCUGUGUCAACUGAAGCUCCUCUACCUGCAGGCCACAACUGCCAGCUUCAAUUUCCUUGUGCAACCUUAAAAAUGUAUCUUCCUUUUCAUGUCUGGCUUGAUGAACUUAACAGCGCUAGUUGGUUCCCAGCACAUAACUUUAACUAAGACAGUUCCUGUCCCUGUCAAGAUGCUUGUAUAAUUGCUGCCUAUCCUGGUUACAGUGUGGCUUGAAUGUUAGUGAUGAUGGCCAAGGUGCCAAAGUAACAAAGUUUGAUGUGAAUGCCAUUUUUGGCAUUUGAAUGCCUCAUUCAGAAAGUCAAUACAAUCAAGAGGUAAUGACACACAGCUCUGAACUUCAGUUGACCAGAACAAACACAAGAAUUACAUCACCUAAGCAUGUCCCCAUUAUCCAUUAAAGGGCCG